rnacentral:lncRNA from 1 species
GCCUUAUUUACCCUGUAGCAUUUUCACAUUAAUAAAAACAUUGAAAUAAUUUCAAUGAGUAUUAUCAUAUGGUUGACCUUGACUAGUCUUGAAGACUAUUCCACUAAUUUGGAUAUGGAAGGAUGGGAAAGGACUUUUAUAUUUCAACAUUGGUUGUGGAUCAAUUAUCAUUGUACUCAAAAUAUAACACAAACUUAGUUUGUUGGUUGUGACAGAGUUGUGGAAGUCCCUGGACUCCCUUCCUAGACUUGAAUAUCCAAUUUUAUAGAAUACCACUUAAAAUACAGGUAGAACAAGUUACUCUUAAUCAAAAUAAUUUACUCUGUAUGAUCAUGAAAAAAAAAUCUAACAGUUUCAGUAAAAUAAGCACCUAAAAUCACAGAUGAAGUGUGUUCAAAAGUGAAAAUGUUUUCCACAUAUUAGCUGUUUGUGUUAAAAAAUGUUUUAUUACUACAUGUACUGUUAA